rnacentral:rRNA from 1 species
GAGGACAUUGCUAUUGGGAUUCGAUUUAGCCAUGCUAGUCGAACGAGUUCACACUCGUGGCAGAUAGCUCAGUAACACGUGGCCAAGCUACCCUUCAGUCAGCGAUACCCUCGGGAAACUGAGGCUAAUAGCUGAUACUCGACGCCAGCUGGAAUGCGGCGUCGUCGAAAGACACCGCUGAAGGAUGCGGCUGCGGCCGAUUAGGUAGACGGUGGGGUAACGGCCCACCGUGCCAGUAAUCGGUACGGGUGAUGAGAGUCAGAGCCCGGAGACGGAAUCUGAGACAAGAUUCCGGGCCCUACGGGGCGCAGCAGGCGCGAAACCUUUACACUGCACGGAAGUGCGAUAGGGGAAUCCCAAGUGCGAGGGCAUAUUAGCCCUCGCUUUUGUUGACUCUAAGGUGGUCAACGAAUAAGAGCUGGGCAAGACCGGUGCCAGCCGCCGCGGUAAUACCGGCAGCUCGAGUGAUGUCCCAUAUUAUUGGGCCUAAAGCGUCCGUAGCUGGCCAACCAAGUCUAUCGGGAAAUCCACCUGCCCAACGGGUGGGCGUCCGGUAGAAACUGGCUGGCUUGGAACCGGAAGGCUCAGAGAGUACGUCCGGGGUAGGAGUGAAAUCCCGUAAUCCCGGACGGACUACCGAUGGCGAAAGCACUCUGAGAAGACGGCUUCGACAGUGAGGGACGAAAGCUAGGGUCUCAAACCGGAUUAGAUACCCGGGUAGUCCUAGCUGUAAACGAUGCUCGUUAGGGUGUGGCACCCACUACGAGUGGGUGCUGUGCCGUAGGGAAGCCGCUAAACGAGCCGCCUGGGAAGUACGUCCGCAAGGAUGAAACUUAAAGGAAUUGGCGGGGGAGCACUACAACCGGAGGAGCCUGCGGUUUAUUG